CCAAUAGCGUAUAUUAAAGUUGUUGCAGUUAAAAAGCUCGUAGUUGAAUUUUAGGCCUGGCCGGGCGGUCCGUCUUUGACGAGUACUGUCUUGUUGUCGGGUCUUCCUUCUGGUGAACCAGUAUGUCCUUUAUUGGGUGUGUUGGGGAGCCAGGACCAUUACCUUGAAAAAAUUAGAGUGUUUAAAGCGGGCUAUUGCUUGAAUAGAUUAGCAUGGAAUAAUAGAAUAGGACGUUGUGGUUCUAUUUUGUUGGUUUCUAGGACCACCGUAAUGAUUAAUAGGGAUAGUUGGGGGCAUUAGUAUUCAAUUGUCAGAGGUGAAAUUCUUGGAUUUAUUGAAGACUAACUAUUGCGAAAGCAUUUGCCAAGGAUGUUUUCAUUAAUCAAGAACGAAAGUUAGGGGAUCGAAGACGAUCAGAUACCGUCGUAGUCUUAACCAUAAACUAUGCCGACUAGGAAUCGGGCGACGUUAUUUUCACGACUCGCUCGGCGCCUUAUG
rnacentral:rRNA from 1 species